GAUGAACGCUGGCGGCGUGCCUAAUACAUGCAAGUCGAGCGAACGGACGAGAAGCUUGCUUCUCUGAUGUUAGCGGCGGACGGGUGAGUAACACGUGGAUAACCUACCUAUAAGACUGGGAUAACUUCGGGAAACCGGAGCUAAUACCGGAUGAUAUAUUGAACCGCAUGGUUCAAAAGUGAAAGACGGUCUUGCUGUCACUUAUAGAUGGAUCCGCGCUGCAUUAGCUAGUUGGUAAGGUAACGGCUUACCAAGGCAACGAUGCAUAGCCGACCUGAGAGGGUGAUCGGCCACACUGGAACUGAGACACGGUCCAGACUCCUACGGGAGGCAGCAGUAGGGAAUCUUCCGCAAUGGGCGAAAGCCUGACGGAGCAACGCCGCGUGAGUGAUGAAGGUCUUCGGAUCGUAAAACUCUGUUAUUAGGGAAGAACAAAUGUGUAAGUAACUGUGCACAUCUUGACGGUACCUAAUCAGAAAGCCACGGCUAACUACGUG
rnacentral:rRNA from 1 species